AUUGAACGCUGGCGGCAGGCCUAACACGUGCAAGUCGAACGGUAACAGGAAACAGCUUGCUGUUUCGCUGACGAGUGGCGGACGGGUGAGUAAUGUCUGGGAAACUGCCUGAUGGAGAGGGAUAACUACUGGAAACGGUAGCUAAUACCGCAUAACGUCGCAAGACCAAAGAGGGGGACCUUCGGGCCUCUUGCCAUCGGAUGUGCCCAGAUGGGAUUAGCUAGUAGGUGGGGUAACGGCUCACCUAGGCGACGAUCCCUAGCUGGUCUGAGAGGAUGACCAGCCACACUGGAACUGAGACACGGUCCAGACUCCUACGGGAGGCAGCAGUGGGGAAUAUUGCACAAUGGGCGCAAGCCUGAUGCAGCCAUGCCGCGUGUAUGAAGAAGGCCUUCGGGUUGUAAAGUACUUUCAGCGGGGAGGAAGGGAGUAAAGUCAAUACCUUUGCUCAUUGACGUUACCCGCAGAAGAAGCACCGGCUAACUCCGUGCCAGCAGCCGCAGUAA
rnacentral:rRNA from 1 species